rnacentral:lncRNA from 1 species
AGUUCCCUCUCAUCCAAAGACUCAGCACCUCCAAGGCUCAGACUCCCAGGGCACUGCUACCUCAGAGAUCUCUCCAGGCUCUGCUCACAGGCACUCACCCACUGCCUGACCUUGCAGGCUCCUGGAAUUAAGCCAUGAGUGGUUUCCUGUCUCUUGACAACAUCUACCCAGAACUCAGACUUUGGUUUUCCUUUGUCCCUAGACCACAGCCUGAGGCAGCCAAACCCAUUUCCUUGGGGAUCCAGCGCAAACCAGAGAGUGUGGACAGGCCGAUGGAAGAAUGUUGGACCAGCUUUAAGAAUGGGCUGUUCUAAGUCAUGAAUAUUGUAGGAAGCAGCUCUAAGGACCACAGGGCUGGAGGGUGCACAGGAAGGGGCCAGUGCAUACAGGUGUCCAAACAGUGUCAUCCGGUGUCCUGACAUGCGGCCCCAAUGGACUGAUCCAGGGUGGAAAGGAAGAGUGAGAAGAAAUCAGACAGAAGAAUUCAGGAGAUGUGGCAACAGAGUGGAUGUAGCAGAAGGGACAUAGAGAGUGCCUAAAGAUGAGUCUUUGGUCAGCAUGUGAUGAAAAGAAUGAAGACACUGGGGAAGUGGGGAGCAGAAGCGGAUGUGGGCCCAGGAGGAAGAAGGUAGGUUUGGACUGGGGCAUGCUGAGGUCAGUAGCAACAUCAAAGUCCUGAGCACCCUCAUAUUGUUGCAGAUUCCAGAGAGCAGAGAUGGCAAAAAGAUGCAUGGAAGAGAGACACAGCAGGGUCGGGUUCUGGCCUCAGGAGCCAAGGGGGAAGUGCCUGAGGAGACCCCCAAAUGAGGCCUGUGUCAAUGAGGUCUUUAGGGGACUGGUUUCCAUGUAUGCCAGGCCAUACUCCCUGGAUUCCCAGCAUUGAGAAGACCAAACACUUCUACACAUUUAUUACUGAAGCCCCCUGCAAGCUGAAGGCGGAGGAAGUGGCCAAUCUCCUAAGCCGUGUGUGGCUGAGGCAGUUGUCAGAGCUGUGAUGAGGGAAAUGCUCAUUAUUCUUCUAUCCCUCACUUGGCCAAAUAAAGAACUUCUUAGAAUUCUUCCCCUGUGACAAAACGGGGCUGUGAUUUGGAAAGCCUCAGGCAAGUUUGCUAGGGCCGCGGUAACCAAGCACCACAGACUGGGUGGCUUCAAAACUGGACGGCUUCAACAGAAAGUUAUUGUUGCUCAGUUCUGGAAGCCAGAAGUCCAAAAUCAAGGUACUUGCAGGGUCAGUUCGAUCUGAGGGCUGCGAGGGAAGGAUCUGUUGUAGACCUCUCUCCUAGGU